GCGUGAGGUCGGAAGUUCAAGUCUUCCCAGGCCCACCACUUUCAUCGAGUGAGCAUUCGUCUUCUGGUUACGGGGCCAUAGCUCAGCUGGGAGAGCGCGUGCUUUGCAAGCAUGAGGUCGUCGGUUCGAUCCCGUCUGGCUCCACCAGAUGGUUUGAUCACCGAGAUCUUGACCGUCGUCCGCGAAACAUCACUUCGCAUCCUGCUAGUCUGGAUAGACAGCAGUUUGCGUGUUUUCUGACAUCGUAAAGAGGAGAUCGAUCCGAGUUGGGUCGUGCAGCAUAUCGUUGCGCGAGCCUUCAUUAUCUCCGGAUCAUUUCGGCGCUCGCUUCCAGCCGUGAGGUUGGAUGCGGGUUGUAAAUGAUCCUUUUAGCGAAGCUUGACCGCCUCGCUAUCGGAACGAUCUUACGAAGCAAGCUGGUCUUUCUAGUCAAUGUCCGGCUGCGGAUAGCGUUCAUCGAGGGCGCGUGCCGCAAGGCAAUUCUGCAGACAACAUUCUGCCGAGUGUGUGGACAUUGAUAAUGAGAGCAAUCAAGUGCCUUAAGGGUGUUCGGUGGAUGCCUUGGCGCUGAGAGGCGAUGAAGGACGUGCUACGCUGCGAUAAGCCGUGGGG
rnacentral:rRNA from 2 species